AGAAGGGAAAGGGAAGCUUCAAGA
rnacentral:siRNA from 1 species